rnacentral:rRNA from 1 species
UCAAGCGAUAGGUAAGGGCAUUUGGUGAAUGCCUUGGCACUCAGAGGCGAAGAAGGACGUAAUACACUGCGAAAAGUCACGGGGAGUUGUGAAUAAGCAUUGAUCCGUGAAUGUCCGAAUGGGGAAACCCACAGAGCAAUCUGUAUCGUAACAUGAAUACAUAGUGUUGCGAAGCGAACGCAGGGAACUGAAACAUCUAAGUACCUGUAGGAAAGGAAAUCAACCGAGACUCCGAAAGUAGUGGCGAGCGAAAUCGGACCAGCCGAUGGAUUUGAUUGUAAGAACUAGAACAGCGUGGGAAAGCUGACCGAAGAUGGUGAUAGUCCAGUAUAGGUAGAAAGCAAUUAAGUUCUUGAGUAGGGCGGAGCACGAGAAAUUCUGUCUGAAAAUGGGGAGACCACUCUCCAAGGCUAAGUACUACUGAGUGACCGAUAGUGAACAAGUACCGUGAGGGAAAGGUGAAAAGCACCCCUAUAAGGGGAGUGAAAAAGAACCUGAAACCGGAUGCCUACAAGCAGUCGGAGGAGCAUUAGGCUCUGACGGCGUACCUUUUGUAUAAUGGGUCAGCGACUUAAUUUAUGUAGCAAGCUUAAGCCGAUAGGUGUAGGCGCAGCGAAAGCGAGUGUUAAUAGCGCGUUAAGUUACAUGGAUUAGACCCGAAACCGAGUGAUCUAGCCAUGAUCAGGUUGAAGGUUGGGUAACACCAACUGGAGGACCGAACCCACUCCCGUUGAAAAGGUAGGGGAUGAAUUGUGGCUAGGGGUGAAAGGCCAAUCAAACUCGGAAAUAGCUGGUUCUCCGCGAAAACUAUUUAGGUAGUGCGGCAAGCGGACACGUUGAGGGGUAGAGCACUGAAAGAGCUAAGGGGGAGCGAUCCUUACUAAACUUUAUCAAACUCCGAAUACUCAACAGUGAUACUUGCCAGACAGACUGUAGGUGCUAAGGUCUACGGUCGAGAGGGAAAGAGCCCAGACCGCCAAUUAAGGUCCCAAAAUUAUGGCUAAGUGGUAAAGGAAGUGAAUUGUCCAAAACAGUCAGGAGGUUGGCUUAGAAGCAGCCAUCCUUUAAAGAAAGCGUAAUAGCUCACUGAUCUAAACAAGACGAUUUGCGCCGAAGAUGUAACGGGGCUAAAGCCAUAUACCGAAGUUGCGGAAUUGCACGUAAGUGCAAUUGGUAGCGGAGCGUUCUGUAAGCCUGCGAAGGUGUUCCGUAAGGAAUGCUGGAGGUAUCAGAAGUGAGAAUGCUGACAUGAGUAGCGAAAAGAAGUGUGAGAGACACUUCCGCUGAAAGUCCAAGGUUUCCUGCGUAAAGCUAAUCUGCGCAGGGUUAGUCGGCCCCUAAGGCGAGGCAGAGAUGCGUAGUCGAUGGGAAUCAGGUUAAUAUUCCUGAACCAACUAGGAAGUGACGGAUUCAGUAAAUUGUAUGUCCUUAUUGGAUUGGAUGUGCAGUGAAUGAGUCCCGGGAAAUAGCCCUAGUAUAGACCGUACCCGAAACCGACACAGGUGGACAGGUAGAGAAUACCAAAGCGCUUGAGAGAACUAUGUUGAAGGAACUAGGCAAAAUACUUGCGUAACUUCGGGAUAAGCAAGCCCCAUUUCUGGGCAACCAGAGGUGGGGGGCACAUACUAGGGGGUAGCGACUGUUUACUAAAAACACAGGGCUCUGCUAAAUUGAAAGAUGAAGUAUAGGGUCUGACGCCUGCCCGGUGCUGGAAGGUUAAGGAGAGAUGUGCAAGCAUUGAACUGAAGCCCCAGUAAACGGCGGCCGUAACUAUAACGGUCCUAAGGUAGCGAAAUUCCUUGUCGGGU